UCUUUUUUUUUUUUUUGCACUCAUUUUUUUUUCUAUCUUGAAUUCUGAGUUAAACAUUGGAGUAUAAUCACUUCCAAAAACUGGGGCAAGUGUUAAACAUUGAUCUUUCAUCCUGCUUUAUAUCCACUUGGUUAUUUUCACUAUGGUCGCAAGCUUUCUCUCAACUGAUGUAGCGUGUUACACUGUUUUUUGGUACUUUAUUGUGUUAUUUUCACAGGAUAAUCCUUUUGUGGUGUGGGUUUGGUUUUUGGUCUCUCACCAACAGAGCAUUUGACUCCAAGAUAUGUUUUCAAUUUGAUUUAAUUUAGAACACUAUACUGUACUUUCUAUUUCCUUUUUUCCCUUUUCAUUGCUCCCUUUGAUGGACUUUUAGUUGCUUUACUGUUUAAAUGAUUUUUAGUAAACUCAAAGAAAGACUCCUUAUCCGGGUCCUAACCAUUUUGGAUAGUAGAUCAAACAUUUUGUAUUCUGCAGGGAUGGGUACUACUGACCAUGUUAUAGUGCUGGCCUCCACCAAUCGGGCCGACAUUCUGGAUAAUGUACUGAUGAGACCAGGAAGACUGGACAGACAUAUAUUUAUUGACCUUCCUACCUUACAGGAAGCCCAACUACUAGUUUCUACAGCUUACAGGCAAACAGAGAAGGUGUUGUAAGAUAACAGGGACAAGCUGAUUUUGUUGACCAAUGCUCUGUUAGAGAGGGACGUUAUAAACUAUGAUGACAUUAAUCAGCACAUUGGGCCUCCUCUCUAUGGAACCAAAAAGAUUAUUGCUCCUUAAACCUGGAUUGAAGCAGAGAAAUACAAACAAGAUAGUGGAGAAGAAGAACCUCAUGCACCUCCAAGGGAGGAGGAAGAAGAGCCAAACCUAAAUCCUGUCUGACAUUUGCCAUAAAAAAAGAUGAACACUGUAACUCUGUGUGAUGCCACUUACGGUACCAAUGUGAGAGUUCUGAACACAUGUAAAUAAGCUCUAGCUGUCACAUACAGAAGCUUUUAAUUUUAUUCUGUACAAGAGAAAUAU